rnacentral:rRNA from 1 species
GCGGACGGGUGAGUAAUACUUAGGAAUCUGGCUAUUAGUGGGGGACAACAUUUCGAAAGGGAUGCUAAUACCGCAUACGUCCUACGGGAGAAAGCAGGGGAUCAGUAAUGACCUUGCGCUAAUAGAUGAGCCUAAGUCGGAUUAGCUAGUUGGUGGGGUAAAGGCCUACCAAGGCGACGAUCUGUAGCGGGUCUGAGAGGAUGAUCCGCCAC